CUACGGGUGGCAGCAGUGAGGAAUAUUGCACAAUGGAGGAAACUCUGAUGCAGCAACGCCGCGUGGAGGAUGACGCAUUUCGGUGUGUAAACUCCUUUUAUAUGUCAAGAAAAUGACGGUAGCAUAUGAAUAAGCUCCGGCUAACUCCGUGCCAGCAGCCGCGGUAAUACGGAGGGAGCAAGCGUUACUCGGAAUCACUGGGCGUAAAGGACGCGUAGGCGGGAUAGAAAGUCAGGUGUGAAAUCCUAUGGCUCAACCAUAGAACUGCACUUGAAACUUCUAACCUAGAGUAUGGGAGGGGGUGAUGGAAUUAGUGGUGUAGGGGUAAGAUCCGUAGAUAUCACUAGGAAUACCUAAAGCGAAGGCGAUCUCCUGGAACAUUACUGACGCUAAGGCGUGAAAGCGUGGGGAGCAAACAGGAUUAGAUACCCCAGUAGUC
rnacentral:rRNA from 1 species